GACGAACGCUGGCGGCGUGCUUAACACAUGCAAGUCGAGCGGAGCGGCGAACGGGUGAGUAACGCGUGAGUAACUGCCCCCCUCUCUGGGAUAACAGUUGGAAACGGCUGCUAAUACCGGAUAGUGGGGGAUGACUCGCGUCCUAUCAGCUUGUUGGUGGGGUAGUGGCAUACCAAGGCGACGACGGGUAGCCGGCCUGAGAGGGCGACCAGCCACAUGAGGCUACGGGAGGGCCCAACGUCCAACGGGGGGCAGCAGGGGGGAAUAUUGCACAAUGGUGGAAACCGUGAGGCACGGCCCCGGGGGCGGGAUGACGGCCCGCGGGGUGUAAACCGCUUUCAGCCAUGACGCGGUAGUGGCAGAAGAAGCACCGGCUAACUACGUGCCAGCAGCCGCGGUAAUAC
rnacentral:rRNA from 1 species